rfam:Pirellula staleyi DSM 6068, complete genome.
CCCGGUGACCAUAUCAAAAAGGAAACACCUGUUCCCAUCCCGAACACAGCAGUUAAGCUUUUUGAGCCGAUGAUAGUGCAACAAACGCGAAAGUAGGUAUCGCCGGGG